AUCCUUGAAAGAGUGCGUAAUAGCUCACUGGUCAAGUGAUUCCGCGCCGACAAUGUAGCGGGGCUCAAGUACACCGCCGAAGUCGUGUCAUUGCAGCAUUACCCCCAACGGGGGCUGUGAUGGGUAGGGGAGCGUCGUGUGCCGGGUGAAGCAGCCGCGGAAGCGAGUUGUGGAUGGUUCACGAGUGAGAAUGCAGGCAUGAGUAGCGAUAC
rnacentral:ncRNA from 1 species